UUACCGGUAAGGAUACUGCUAAGUGCUAACAACAAUAAACCAGAAUCCUAAAUUUCAUUAAGCCAAUCAGAGAAACGAACAUCAAUUAGCUACUAAACACAAUUUGAAACCAAAACUCUUUUCUUAGAAAAUCAAUUGCACAAAUCUGACCACGAAAAAGGACAUGCAAAUUAAAAAAUGAAAUUCACAAUGGG